CUAUUUAGAGGUCUGUUUUACUGGGUUAUUCAGUGUUUCCAUAGAAGAAGCCAACUAACUCAAACCUGGGAUAUAUAAAUCUGGCUACCAACAUUCUUAAUCCUAGAAGAAGGCUGAAUUUCACUGAACACUUCUGUCUUUUGCCAUGUAACUCUUUCUUUCAUCUGCAGUGACCAGUUUCCCUGAGUCUGAUGCUUCACCAAUUCCAUUUUUCCAGUUCCCUGGUAAAUAACCCAAAUUUGAGGCAAUUGAAAUCAACUUCCUGAAUCCAUUGAUGCCUCAUCCACAUUCUAACAUUUCAGAAGACAGCAAAAAU